GAUGAACGCUGGCGGCGUGCCUAAUACAUGCAAGUCGAGCGAACAGAUGAGGAGCUUGCUCCUCUGACGUUAGCGGCGGACGGGUGAGUAACACGUGGAUAACCUACCUAUAAGACUGGGAUAACUUCGGGAAACCGGAGCUAAUACCGGAUAAUAUAUUGAACCGCAUGGUUCAAUAGUGAAAGACGGUUUUGCUGUCACUUAUAGAUGGAUCCGCGCCGCAUUAGCUAGUUGGUAAGGUAACGGCUUACCAAGGCAACGAUGCGUAGCCGACCUGAGAGAGGGGUAGCCCACCCUGGAAGGGGAACGCGGUCAAGACGCCUGCGGGAGGGAGCAGAAGGGAAUCUGAGGCAGUGGGGGAAAGCCUGACGGAACAAGGCGGAGUGAGUGAUAAAGGUGUUGGGUUCGAAAACCUGUGUUAUGGGGGAAAAACAAAUGUGUAAGGAACUGUGCAGGUCGUGACGGUACCUAAUCAAAAAGCCACGGCUAACUACGUG
rnacentral:rRNA from 1 species